CCUACGGGAGGCAGCAGUGAGGAAUAUUGGUCAAUGGACGAGAGUCUGAACCAGCCAAGUAGCGUGAAGGAUGACUGCCCUAUGGGUUGUAAACUUCUUUUAUAAAGGAAUAAAACGAGGCACGUGUGCCUUUUUGCAUGUACUUUAUGAAUAAGGAUCGGCUAACUCCGUGCCAGCAGCCGCGGUAAUACGGAGGAUCCGAGCGUUAUCCGGAUUUUUUGGGUUUAAAGGGAGCCUAGAUGGGUUGUUAAGUCAGUUGUGAAAGUUUGCGGCUCAAACGUAAAAUUGCAAUUGAUACUGGCAGUCUUGAGUACAGUUGAGGUAGGCGGAAUUCGUGGUGUAGCGGUGAAAUGCUUAGAUAUCACGAAGAACCCCGAUUGCGAAGGCAGCUUACUAAACUGUGACUGACAUUGAUGCUCGAAAGUGUGGGUAUCAAACAGGAUUAGAUACCCUUGUAGUC
rnacentral:rRNA from 1 species